rnacentral:rRNA from 1 species
UAGGGAAUCUUCGGCAAUGGACGAAAGUCUGACCGAGCAACGCCGCGUGAGUGAAGAAGGUUUUCGGAUCGUAAAACUCUGUUGUUAGAGAAGAACAAGGACGUUAGUAACUGAACGUCCCCUGACGGUAUCUAACCAGAAAGCCACGGCUAACUACGUGCCAGCAGCCGCGGUAAUACGUAGGUGGCAAGCGUUGUCCGGAUUUAUUGGGCGUAAAGCGAGCGCAGGCGGUUUCUUAAGUCUGAUGUGAAAGCCCCCGGCUCAACCGGGGAGGGUCAUUGGAAACUGGGAGACUUGAGUGCAGAAGAGGAGAGUGGAAUUCCAUGUGUAGCGAUGAAAUGCGUAGAUAUAUGGAGGAACACCAGUGGCGAAGGCGGCUCUCUGGUCUGUAACUGACGCUGAGGCUCGAAGGCGUGGGGAGCAAACAGG